rnacentral:snRNA from 1 species
GUGCUCACUUUAUCAGCACUUAUACUAAAACUGGAAUUAUGCAGAGAAGAUUAGCAUGGACCCUACACAAGUAUGACACACAAAUUUGUGAAGGGUAUCAUGUAUUU